AAUAUUGGUCAAUGGGGGGAAUCCUGAUCCAGCCAUGCAGCGUGUGUGAAGAAGGUCGUCGCUUUGUAAAGCACUUUAAGUCGGGAGGCAGAGUUGUAGGCUAAUACCUUGCAAUUUUGACGCUACCAACAUCAUAAGCACCGGCUAACUUCAUGCCAGCAGCCGCGGUAAUACGAAGGGUGCACGCGUUAAUCGGAAUUACUGGGCGUAAAGCGCGCGUAGGUGGGUCGUUAAGUAGGAAGUGAAAGCCCCAGGCUUAACCUGGGAACUGCUUUCAAAACUGGCAAGCUAGAGUAUGGCAGAGGGUGGUGGAAUUACCUGUGUAGCGGGGAAAUGCGUAGAUAUAGGAAGGAACACCAGUGGCGAAGGCGACCACCUGGGAUAAUACUGACACUGAGGUGCGAAAGCGUGGGAAGCAAACAGG
rnacentral:rRNA from 1 species